AACGAACGCUGGCGGCGUGCCUAACACAUGCAAGUCGUGCGGGAAAGUAGGGGCAACUCUACAAGUACAGCGGCGCACGGGUGAGUAACACGUAGGUAACCUGCCUCGGAGACUGGGAUAACCUGUCGAAAGACGGGCUAAUACCAGAUACGACCACGAGAGCUGCGGCUCUCGCGGUGAAAGGUGGCCUCUGCUUGCAAGCUACCAAUCUGAGAUGGGCCNGCGCGCCAUUAGCUAGUUGGUGAGGUAACGCCCACAAGGCGGAGAUGGCUAGCUGGUCUGAGAGGAUGGCCAGCCA
rnacentral:rRNA from 1 species